AUUGACAUUUUCCAUGAACCCUAGUUAAUCAUUCAUACAAAAAAAAAAAAUAUUAAAACCGUACUAAAAAAAUAUCAAAAUGUUCCUGGGUCACCCAACCUUCAAAUCUCAGACUCACUGCCAUAGUCUCUUCUUUGUCUCUUCUCCUUUACACUCGGCUCCGGAUUUUCUUCGACAGCUCCCUUCUCCAUCCUCUUCCUUCUUUUCCUCCACGGCGCCCUGCUAAGGUCACCGCAGCAUUCCUCACGUGCCUCACCCAGCCGAGGAGAACGUCGUCGCGUCAGAGAGCGUCGCCGUCUUCCUCGUUCCAGAGAGCAUCGCCGUCUUUCUCGUUCUUUGUCACCGUCGUCAGCUUCUCCCUUCCGGCAUUGGUGAAGAUGAUGGCUGUUUGAUGUACCUAUCAUCGAAUUACUGCAGGUGCCUAUAAUCUUUUAGAUGUGGUUCUUUACCAAGCAAGUUAUGGCCACAAUCUAUCAGCAAAAGGCGGUUGAUAUAAAUGAGAGGGAGCUUGGGCUUGAUCAUCCUGACACAAUAAAAAGCUAUGGGGACCUUUCUGUCUUUUACUAUCGUAUGCACCAAUACGAGCUCGCUUUGAAGUAGGUUACAAUGACUCUCCUCUUCAAAAUGGUUUAGAUGCCUAUGCCAUGAAGAAUUUCUGUUGAUUGUUGUAUUCAGGGCACCAAAAAACUGUGACUCUUUUAAUGCAGUCUGUCAGAUCUUCUGGAUUUUAUAAGUCCCGAGCUUGAUUCUAAUGGAAAUGAACAAGCUCAGAGAAAACAGCAGCGUAGGAAGGUUCUCUGCCAAAUUUUUACAUGGUGUUACCUUAUAUAUUUGACAUUAAUUGCUUUAUUGUUAUAAACUGCUGCUACCUUUGUUUUGUAAAUUUUUCUAUUGUGUUGCCUCAU